CUUGGUCAUUUAGAGGAAGUAAAAGUCGUAACAAGGUUUCCGUAGGUGAACCUGCGGAAGGAUCAUUAACGAGUUAGGGUCUCUCUGGCCCGACCUCCCAACCCUUUGUCUACUUGACCAUCGUUGCUUCGGCGAGCCCGUCCUCACGGACCGCCGGAGGGAUCUUUACUGGCCCUCUGGUCCGCGCUCGUCGGUAGCCCAACCUUUAAAAUCUUUAACUAAACGUGCCUUAAUCUAAGUACAAUUAUUAAAUAAAAGCAAAACUUUCAACAACGGAUCUCUUGGUUCUGGCAUCGAUGAAGAACGCAGCGAAAUGCGAUAAGUAAUGCGAAUUGCAGAAUUCCAGUGAGUCAUCGAAUCUUUGAACGCACAUUGCGCCCUUUGGUAUUCCGAAGGGCAUGCCUGUUCGAGCGUCAUUAUCACCCCUCAAGCCCUCGGCUUGGUGUUGGACGGUUUGGUGGAGGCCCCCUCGGGGGCUCCUGCCCCUCCCAAAGACAAUGACGGCGGCCUCGUUGGACCCCCGGUACACUGAGUUCUUCACGGGACACGUAUCGGACACAUGGGUUUACGGGACACGGUCUGCCUCCCCUCAGGGAGAAUCUUUCUAAGGUUGACCUCGGAUCAGGUAGGGAUACCCGCUGAACUUAAGCAUAUCAAUAAGCGGAGGA
rnacentral:rRNA from 1 species